CAAAAAAGAAGAAACUCCGACAAGAACAUAUCAAAACUAUACAAUCAUUUUCAAUGAGCAUAUACAUAUACUUAAAUAUACAGAGAAAAAGGGAGGAGAUAAUAGGAACUGCAUCACGCAAGAGUGCUCGAGAAAGCUGAAGAUCCAAGGGAGGGAUGGCGGUCCAUUGAAGACCAGCACCCCUCAGACAUCAUCACAUGCAGCAAGCCUUGUCUUCAUCAGCCUUGGUGUGGGUACUUCUGCACCGUCCCAAAGCUUUUGCUGCAGGAGAGUUUUUUGGGCUUCUGUGAUAUCACGAGAGUGCAACUGUCAUGCAUGUGACAGCUCAUUUUCAAGAGGCAACAACCAGCACAGGCUGCAGAUUUGGUUUUGCUGAGGACACUGAAGGUGGCUGUCUGCAGCUGAGGUUGGAAGAUAUCAGCUGUCGCAGAGCAGUUGAUGUCAGUCAUAGCCUAGUCAAAGAAAGAAUUAGUUCGCUCGCCACACAAACCGACCCAACUGUCACAGGCAUGUGUGUCAUCCCACUGUAGAGUAAGUACGUCAGAUACUGUGUCUUGCUUGUGAGUAGCUGCCUGCAAAUUUAACGUGCCAUACCUCACAUGACCAAUAACGAGAUAAGUUUUUAGGAGUAACAAUCAAUUUUGCUGCGGCCAACAGCAUCGGCGGAACCUCUGCUCCUGGAUAUUCUUCCUAAGGCUAAUUAUGCUGUGAAGAAUGUGCAACACAAUUCAGACAGAGGAGAAUGAGACGACGUAGUAGGGAGUUACUCGCUGUGAGUCACCACCAGCAACCGAGAGGACAAAUUUACUGUUCCUGUAGUUGCUCCUUACAAUCGGUUCAAUCUUCGCACCGCAGUACAGUGGGAGUUGGUUGAGACAACAAGUCCCGAACAAGAAUGUGUUGGGAUUUUGCUGGAUAUCGGUACGACUGGAUUGUCAACCUGGUCAAAGGACGUAGCGGGGCAAACGAGUUUGAAGAAGUAAUGUGCAUAAGGUGUCAAAUAGUUUAAAGUCAUUUGUGGAGUGCAAAGUGGAGGAUAGUUUACUAAACCCAACAAAUGAGUCAUCUCAUUCACAACAACUUCGAAUUGUAACUCGACUCAUGUUCUUCAAACGGAUUAUUCGUUCCGAGAGAGUUAACUCCGGAUGGAACACCUCUGAAAACUUUAAUAAUGAGAGGCAUAGUUCACGUCU